GGAAUUAUUGACAUAAAGAAAGUGGCCUUUCAAGUUAGCUAUCAGAUCCCAAGGCUCAACCCUAAGGCGUGGAAACUACCAAGGUGAUCUAUGAUAAGGGUAGAGGGAAUUUCUGGAGCAAUGGUGAAAUGCAUAGAGAUCAGAAAGAACACCAACAACAAAAGCACUCUACUAGGCCGAUAGUGCACUUGAGAGAUGGAAGCUAGGGGAGCGAAUGCCAUUAGAUACCCCAGUAGUCCUAGCUGUAAAAGAUGGUUAGUUACCUUCUUCAACUAACCACU
rnacentral:ncRNA from 1 species